UUAAAACGAACUUUUGUGUCACAUUUUGGAUUUUGGUAGUGGGUAAGAUAGUCGUGUUUAGGUUUUCUUAAUAAUUGGUCAAAACCAGGAAAAGUCGUAGAAAGAACUGGAAAGUUCACAGAAAUAAUGGUUUCAUUAUUUUCAGUUUUAUUUUUUUGUUUUAAUUCUGAUUAAAAUAAAUUGCCAAGACCGGAAAUAUUCACAGUAUACUCAUAAUGGAAAGAUAGACAUGGGAAAAUGUUCAGAAAAUGUUUGAGUUUUAGAGCUGUUUAUAUGCAUUUCACGUUUUUGAGUUUUUUUAAGUUUUUACAAGAUGGGUACUAUACUACUAUAUGGGUAUAAAAUUGUUUGACCAAACAGAAAUGCCUGAACAUUUUACAUACACGAUGUUUAUUAAAAGUUAUAUUUAGUAGUAAAAACAAAAAAAUGUAGAGCGUAAUUCAGUAGUUUUUUUAUAAGAUAACAUUUUUACAAAAAAUAUGACUUUCAAACAUGUAUAGUUCAGUUACUUAAUCUCGAUUAAACUCGUAUUUCGUUAGCAAUAUUGUUUAUCGUUGCCUACAGAUAUAAAUUGAAUAACAUUACGUUUCCUAUCUUCCUAAUUUUCAAUCUACAACAGGGGCGCACUCAUCAGUAGCAUCAGAUCUUCUUUUUGCCCUCUCCCUGAAAUAUCAUCUAUGACACACCUGGUACAUGCUGAGGGCACAAUUAUGUGUAGAACACUAAUAUCAGAUUUUGGUAGCGUUUAUGAGUUUUCAUCAUUUAAAGUUUAGACUGGAGUAGUAGGGAAGGACAAUAGAUUGCAUAUACAUUUUUAAAUGAUAUAUUGGAAUUAAUUUAAAUAAUUAGAUAUCAUGUUUGACUGAAACAACUUUUUUCGUAAAUCAUUAUUAACAUUUAUUUAUUCAACCUACCAAUUAAUGAUAAUAAUACAUUGAUUCAUAAUAAUAUACAAGAUGCUAAGAAAUAUG